GUGUGUCCCUAAUUGACAGGGUUGGGGACAGAGAGAAGGGGAACCCCAGGCUGGGAUCGGAGACCGGCGGAAGCGAGGAAAUCCUAAGAGCGUGACCGUUGAGGAUACAGGGAACCGUCGGGUGUGACCGUUGUUAGGAAAAGGGUUGGAGAAAGGGUCUCCACCAUGGUGGCUGUGGUGCGGUGAGGGAAUCCUCGUGUGUGGCAGCAGGUAGUUGGGGACAUGAGGGGAAGAUGUGUUUAGGAAUUCAGGGUUUAGGAGGGCCGGAGGCCAGGGGUGUGGCCGAUAGAGCCUGGAGGCCGUGGGGGGGGAACUUUCCUUCCUCCCCGCUCGGCGUCGUUCACUGAGAGGCUGGAACGUGUCCAGCAAGCAAAGGAAAAGGGAUUCCCUUAAAGGUUUUGCUCAUUGAUGGGCGAACGUCGUCUCUUCACUGCUCCGUAAUGGAGGUGCAAAUCACUAGAAUCUUGACCACCUGGGGAAAGAAGAGGCAUUCACUGUGACCCUUGGAGGAAGGAAGGAGUAACCUCCAGAAUUUACUCGAUGUGAGACGGGGAAGCAAAUGGGGGUAAAUCUUAACCCGUCUUAACCCAGAAUUUUUUUGGGGGGGCUCUGCAGGAAUGGUCUGGUUCGGGAAAGGCUGUAGAUUAAGCUGGAAGUAAAGAAACUAGAACUUUCUGUUCUUUCCUUAUCAUUUGAAUCCAAAUAAUGUGUUCAUGCUGCUUGUUUUCAGAGUAGUCUUCUAUUGGAGGGGUUGGAUGGGAGGACAGGCUUUUAUUGAAUUCUCGCAGAUGCUUCAUUAAACUUUUGACUUUUAUUUUUGUAUUUUUAGAGACAGGGUCUUACUGUGUUGCCCAGUCUGGUCUCGAAUUCCUGGGUUCAAGCGAUCCUCCCGAUCCUUCUGACUCGGCCUCCCAAAGUGCUGUGAUUACAGGCGUGAGCCAGCUCACCCAGCCAAACUUCACUUUUGAAAAGAAAAGUGUUUGAAAACUUAUCAUAACCAUUGUGGUUUAAGAGAAAGAGCAUUAAGCUGAUAAAGGCACAAUGACUAAGAAAGGUGGUCUCAAUGAGAAUCAAUUUAAAUUAUUAAUUACCGUCCUUGUAUACUUCAAUUGCUUAGCCUCAGGAUAAGCUUACAAAGUAAUAGAAACUCUUAGAUGAAGGCGGUGCAGCUCUAUAAGAAAACGUGUAACACAUUCCAGAGAUGACUAAGCGCCCGGGUAAGGUGCACAUUAAAGAUCCAAAGUCAUGACUGACUCCAAGUAUUUCACAACCAAUAAAAAAGGAGAAAUAUUUGAACUAAAAGCUGAACUCAACAAUGAAAAGAAA